AUGUCCUCGAGAUGCUACGGGCCACACGGGGUGAUGACACCGCAGGUAGGGCAGCACGCCGUUGUCGAGGACGACCACCGGGUGGAGGACGUCGCGACCACCAGGGACGGCAGCGGUGUGGCGAUGAAGGCGGGGCGAGGAAAGGUUGGGCAGCAAGGCGGGUCGAGGAAUGACGUGCACCGGGGCGGAGGACAUUGCGGCCACGAGGGGCUAGGGCGGCGUGGCGACGACGGAGGGGCGAGGAGAGGUAGGGGAGCAAGGCGGGUCGAGGAUGUCUACCGGGUCGAGGACAUCGCAUACACCAGCGCUGAUCACGGCGGUUCCUGGCGUGGUGGCGGCGUAGAUCGUGGAGGUGCUGUUUAA
rnacentral:rRNA from 1 species